AGUGAACGCUGGCGGUAGGCCUAACACAUGCAAGUCGAACGGCAGCACAGUAAGAGCUUGCUCUUACGGGUGGCGAGUGGCGGACGGGUGAGGAAUACAUCGGAAUCUACUUUUUCGUGGGGGAUAACGUAGGGAAACUUACGCUAAUACCGCAUACGACCUACGGGUGAAAGCAGGGGAUCUUCGGACCUUGCGCGAUUGAAUGAGCCGAUGUCGGAUUAGCUAGUUGGCGGGGUAAAGGCCCACCAAGGCGACGAUCCGUAGCUGGUCUGAGAGGAUGAUCAGCAACACUGGAACUGAGAAACGGUCCAGACUCCUACGGGAGGCGGCAGGGGGGAAUAUUGGACAAGGGGCGAAAGCUUGAUCCAGCCAUCCCGGGGGGGGGAAGAAGGCCUUGGGGUUGUAAACCCUUUUUGUUGGAAAAGAAAAGCAGCAGGUUAAUACCCCGCUGUUUUGACGGUACCAAAAGAAUAAGCACCGGCUAACUUGGUG
rnacentral:rRNA from 1 species